UUAAAUUGAAGAGUUUGAUCAUGGCUCAGAUUGAACGCUGGCGGCAGGCCUAACACAUGCAAGUCGAGCGGUAGCACAGAGAGCUUGCUCUCGGGUGACGAGCGGCGGACGGGUGAGUAAUGUCUGGGAAACUGCCUGAUGGAGGGGGAUAACUACUGGAAACGGUAGCUAAUA
rnacentral:rRNA from 1 species